GACGAACGCUGGCGGCGUGCUUAACACAUGCAAGUCGAACGCUGAAGCUCAGCUUUUGUUGGGUGGAUGAGUGGCGAACGGGUGAGUAACACGUGAGUAACCUGCCCCCUUCUUUGGGGUAACGCCCGGAAACGGGUGCUAAUACUGGAUAUUCACUGGUCUUCGCAUGGGGGUUGGUGAAAAGGGUUUUUCUGGUGGGGGAUGGGCUCGCGGCCUAUCAGCUUGUUGGUGGGGUGAUGGCCUACCAAGGCUUUGACGGGUAGCCGGCCUGAGAGGGUGACCGGUCACAUUGGGACUGAGAUACGGCCCAGACUCCUACGGGAGGCAGCAGUGGGGAAUAUUGCACAAUGGGCGCAAGCCUGAUGCAGCGACGCCGCGUGAGGGAUGGAGGCCUUCGGGUUGUGAACCUCUUUCGCUCAUGGUCAAGCCGCAACAAUGGUUGUGGUGAGGGUAGUGGGUAAAGAAGCGCCGGCUAACUACGUG
rnacentral:rRNA from 1 species